CAAUAGCGUAUAUUAAAGUUGUUGCAGUUAAAAAGCUCGUAGUUGAAUUUCGGGUCCCCGCGCUCGGCGCUUCAUUGUGCCGUCGUGGUGUCCCUCCUCGCCGUAAGGCGUCCUUUACUGUGAAAAAAUUAGAGUGUUCAAAGCAGGCAAUCGCUUGAAUACAUUAGCAUGGAAUAAUAAGAUAGGAUCUUGUCUAUUUUGUUGGUUGCGGACAACGAUAAUGAUUAAUAGGGAUAGUUGGGGGUGUCCGUAUUGAGCUGUCAGAGGUGAAAUUCUUGGAUUUGCUCAAGACGAACUACUGCGAAAGCAUUUACCAAGGAUGUUUUCAUUA
rnacentral:rRNA from 1 species